rnacentral:lncRNA from 10 species
GAUAACUUCCGGUUCAAGAAAUCCGGAUGUACCACAACACACUUUCUGAGGCAGAACGUAAAAGGUAGAGCCACGUUUGGUAUCCGAGGUAUCCUAACAUCUUAACAGUCUCUUUGCUGGAAAGAAAUCUUCAGUGGCUCCCAUUACCUACGGAUCCAGCCUGGCUUUUUAGUCCAGCAUUCAAGACCUGUCAAGCUCUUCUGCAUCCUCUCGUAUGCAUGUGAUAGACAGGCACUCCACCUAGCGAAGUACAACCAUCCCAAACUUAUUCCUAUUACUUUUCUUCCAUUCAUUCGUUCAUACAAUCAAUCAGUCAUCAUUGAGGAUUUAUUAGACGAUAGGUUCUGGAGACAAAAAGGUAGAUAAAUACGACGCAGUCUUUGCUUUUGAGGACUGUAUCCCAGAUACAUCUGACUGGUUGUUCCUGCUGAAACAUUUUUCCACCUCCAUGCUUUUGCAUACACUACUUUCUCCACCUGGAAGACCCUCUCUGCAUUUCUGAACAUGCACUUUUAUUAACUGUCCACAGCUGCAGUGAGGCCUUCUUCAUGAAGCCUCUCCCAGUUCUCCGCCUCACCCCACCAAGCUGGAACUGAUCGCAGCCUCCAAACUCCCACAGCAAUCCUUUGCCUCCUCUUCUGACGCUACUCUUUCUCUCUUGGAUGAAAGCCGUGUGUAUCCAUGUUGGUUCUCCACUUCUAGAACCUGUCGUUUUGGGGCUGCAGGACUUGGUGGAUUCACACUGGCAUCCCCUCAGGAAGCAGGUGAGCAGGAAGUGACUGUUGGAUGCACGAGAAAGCAAGGGAACCACAGAGGUGGGAAAAUGCUGUCUCUUUUUCAUUGUUAAGUCACUACUUUAGGCACAAGAGUGUAACUAAGUCCUUUCCAAAUGGAAAAUGGCUACUUUAGAGCCACGUGGACUCCUCACAAAUUACAUGUUGUGUCUUCUGUUCCUCUUUAAAAUAUUUUUCACAGGUAGCUUCAUUAAAAUGACGAUCACUUCUGGGAGCAAAUUAAUAAAUUCAAACAUAGACUAUUAGAAUUUGAAGGGACCUGCAAGACCCUUCUCUCUUUAGCUCUCAAUUUUAGAUCUAAGAAAACUGGGUCAAGAGAGGCAAAAAUAACUUACUCAAAUUCCCUGUGAGUGCUUGUGGUAUAUUGUACAAUACACCAUAAUAAUUGUUUAUAAUAAUUUAGUGAUUCAUUCAACUACUCUGCAAGUCAACUCUGUGUCAGGCAAAAGGUGAUUCUAAACCAUUGAGAAAAAGAUAAAAUAUAUUGGUUAUUGAGGAGUAGUUUAACUUUUUAGAAAUGCUUUCAUCAACAGUAGCAAAAAGGAAAGCAAAUAAAAGCUCAUAUAAGGUAAAUUUCAGUUACCUGGAAAAGUUACCUAUGUGAAGUGUUUCAUUUUACAGGUGAACAGAGCAGUGAGACAGGGCCAUAUGACAACCUUUCCUUGUUCGCAGGGGAUAGUUCAGGUUUACUUCUCUUGUAAACUUCUCUCUUCCCACCACAAUUAUUAAUAGUGUGUUCUUUCACUCUCAAAAGUGUUCUGGCUUGGACAAUGGCCAUUCUACGUAUAAAGCUUAGUCGUUUUUUCUUGUAUAGCUAUAAUAUCACUUUUUUUUUCUUUUUUUUCUUUUAUUAUUAUACUUU